AUGCCGGAGAUGGAGGGACCUUGGCUCUCAGCAGCGGGAUGCGAAAAAGCCUCUACCCAGCCUAUCAUCCAUACAGAUGUUGGCGGUCUUACCCUUGGCCAUCUGCAGUGUCUUGGUGAGUGCAAUCAGCUCCAUUUUUUGCGCCGAGGUUCCGUGUGGCAGGGCUGCCAUCCAGAGUUUCUGCUCAGGAGAAACCACUGCAGCCCCCACAUACCUCUUUCCAUCGACCAUGUAGCUACUCCUGUCUGUGAACAGAGUCAUCUCCACAUCUGGGAGGGGAGUGUCUCCGAGAUCCGGCCUUAUUCCUGCGACCUGGGUUCCCGCAGUCUUGUGGGUGGUCAGCCAGCUCCUCUGGCAGCAACGUGGCUGGAUUUAGCACCACUGAGGGCCAGAAAGUCACUUUCAGUUCUUUGAGGAGAAGGGCCUAAUAACCUGUCACUUGGGCGUUCGUCAUCCACUGGUCUGGUAGAGUCCAGAGAACUCGAUAGCGUGGAUGGUGGUCAAGAUGAGAUUUUGACCCAAAAUCAAUUACUUGCAUCCUUGACCAGGAGGGCCGUGGCAGCAAUUAUGUGGAGGUAAGGGAGGAACCCAGCCACUACUGGAUCUAGUUUCUUGCUUAGAUAGGCUACUGGCCUUUGCCAAGGCCCCAGAGUCUAAGUCAAAACUCCUUUGGCCACCCCUACCUUUUCAUCCACAUACAAGAGGAAGGGCUUGGUAACAUCUGGGAUAACCAAUGUUGGGCACACAGUAAGGCUGUAUGUAAUUUUCAAAAUGCUCCUUCUGCCUCAGCUGUCCACUCUACCAUAGUGAGUCCUCCCUUAGUUCGUAGAGAGGUCAGGCACUCUCCGUGAACCGUGGCAUCCAUGGCCUGCAGUAGCCCACUGUCCCAAGAAACUCCCUCGGGGCGUGGUGGAGCCGGGGGUAUGGGGUGAUCACCUGUUUCCUGGACUCAGACAGCGAACACACUCUCUCAUGGAGAUCAGAGCCUAAAUAAGUGUUGUGGCUCUGACAGAGCUGUGCUUUCUUUGCUGACACCUGAUACCCUUUUCCCUGCAGAGUCUGUAAGAGAACUCUGGUCCCCUGCCAGCAUGACUCAUAGUCCUCAGCGGCUAUUUCUGCUAUUCCCACUAACUCAGUCAGAUUCUUCCCUUCAAAUCCUUCAACUUUCUGAAGUUUCCUUCUUAUAUCUGGGGCUGACUGGCAAAGGCAAGAUCGUCUAAAGGAGCUAUUGUGCAACUUCUUUGAAGUUUACCUCAAGUUGUCUAGCUAGGUAAACAAACAUUUAAAGACAACCAAAUCUAGAAUUUAACAUCCAUAAGGGUGUGCUAUUAAAACAUAACUUUUCCCUCUAAAAUAACCCUCAUUUCCAGAGAUAGCCAAGUCAGGACUAAUUUAUUUGAAAAAUGAGUCUAGUUUUAACAAAUUUGGCCUAAUUAUUUACAUAAGCUCAGCAAGAACAGUGACGAUUUGCUUUUAAGUAAGUUCCCAUGGGUGAGGGGGCAGUGUCAGUUUAAGUUUUACUGCAUAAACAACAAAAUCACUGUUUAACCAGAUGGAAUUGCUCUGGCUAAAUAGGCCCUUAUAGUUCCUAACUCUCUUUUCCUAGGUCACGGUGUCUGCCAUUCUCAGGGAGUAGACCCCAACUACAAAACACUCUGGACAGAGCCCCGGGGAAACCCGUCGCUUCCUGCUCUACCCAUGACCCCCAUCCACACCCGCCCCUCCCCUCCCAUGGACACAGCUGCAGUCCUGUCACACCCAGAAAGGGCCUGGCCCAGGUGGACAGGAACUCGGGCCGACAUUUCUCAAGAUGUCUGGCCCCUCUCCUCCCUUGCAGAAUGAAUCAACUCUUCCGUGUUCUCUCCUCUCUAGACAAUUGCCACCCAUGGUGACGGCCCACCUAAGAGGGAUAGCAUACUUUUAUACUUAAAAGUCUUUUAGGUACAUGUUCAAAAAGCGAUCUAAAAUACAUGUCUUUCUGGGACGCCUGGGUGGCUCAGUUGGUUAAGCAGCUGCCUUCGGCUUAGGUCAUGAUCCCAGCGUCCUGGGAUCGAGUCCCACAUCAGGCUCNNNNN
ensembl:lincRNA